rnacentral:miRNA from 1 species
AUUAUGACCUCAAACAACCCGUGU